rnacentral:rRNA from 1 species
CCUACGGGAGGCAGCAGUCUAGAAAUUUGCACAAUCGCCGAAAGGCGGAUGCAGCGACACCACGUGGAGGAUGACACCCCUCGGGGUGUAAACUCCUGUCAGAAGGGAAGAAGGCGCGGGCGUUAAUACCGCUCGUUGCUUGACGGUACCUCCAGAGGAAGCUCCGGCUAACUACGUGCCAGCAGCCGCGGUAAUACGUAGGGAGCGAGCGUUGUUCGGAUUUACUGGGCGUAAAGGGCACGUAGGCGGGUAUGCAAGUCGAUUGUGAAAUCCUCUGGCUCAACCAGAGAACUGCAGCCGAAACUGCACACCUUGAGUCCAGCAGAGGGAAUCGGAAUCCCAGGUGUAGCGGUGAAAUGCGUAGAUAUCUGGGAGAACAUCAGUGGCGAAGGCGGAUUCCUGGGCUGGUACUGACGCUGAGGUGCGAAAGCUAAGGGAGCGAACAGGAUUAGAUACCCUGGUAGUCUUAGCCGUAAACGAUGGGUACUAGGUGUUGGGGGACAUUGACCCCCUCAGUGCCGUAGCUAACGCAUUAAGUACCCCGCCUGGGGAGUACGGCCGCAAGGCUGAAACUCAAAUGAAUUGACGG